GACGAACGCUGGCGGCGUGCUUAACACAUGCAAGUCGAACGAAGUGGCGAACGGGUGAGUAACGCGUAAUCAACCUGCCCUUCAGAGGGGGACAACAGUUGGAAACGACUGCUAAUACCGCAUACUGAAGGAGGGGAUUGCGUGUGAUUAGCUAGUUGGGGGGGGAACGGCCCACCAAGGUGAGGAUCAGUAGCCGGUCUGAGAGGAUGAACGGCCACAUUUGGACUGAGACAAGGGCCAAAAUCCUACGGGAGGCAGCAGUGGGGAAUCUUCCGCAAUGGACGGAAGUCUGACGGAGCAACGCCGCGUGAGUGAUGACGGCCUUCGGGGUGUAAAGCUCUGUUAAUCGGGACGCGGUACCGGAAUAGAAAGCCACGGCUAACUACGUGCCAGCAGCCGCGGUAAUAC
rnacentral:rRNA from 1 species